GCUUGUAUGGUAUAGUGGUUAGCAUGUCUGCUUGGAAAAGUUAUGUGAUAUUGAUGAAAAUCUUUUUAAGAUCUUGGGUUCAAUUCCCGGGUCAGCCG